rnacentral:rRNA from 1 species
UGGGAAUAUUGGACAAUGGGGGAAACCCUGAUCCAGCAAUGCCGCGUGAGUGAUGAAGGCCUUCGGGUCGUAAAGCUCUUUUAGCAGGGACGAAGGGUAACUUGACGGUACCUGCAGAAAAAGCACCGGCUAACUACGUGCCAGCAGCCGCGGUAAUACGUAGGGUGCAAGCGUUGUUCGGAAUUAUUGGGCGUAAAGCGCGUGCAGGCGGCCAGCUAAGUCCGGUGUGAAAGCCCGUGGCUUAACUGCGGAAGUGCAUUGGAUACUGGCUGGCUAGAGGACGGGAGAGGGAAGUGGAAUUCCUGGUGUAGGGGUGAAAUCCGUAGAUAUCAGGAGGAACAUCAGUGGCGAAGGCGGCUUCCUGGCCCGUUUCUGACGCUCAGACGCAAAAGCGUGGGGAGCAAAC